rnacentral:rRNA from 1 species
GUAACCUGUAGAGGAGGAUUUGGGGAGGCCGCCUGUCUAAGUUCCUUGGAACAGGACGUCAUAGAGGGUGAGAAUCCCGUAUGUGACAGGAAAUGGCACCCUAUGUAAAUCUCCUUCGACGAGUCCAAGUUGUUUGGGAAUGCAGCUCUAAAUGGGAGGUAAAUUUCUUCUAAAGCUAAAUAUUGGCGAGAGACCGAUAGCGCACAAGUAGAGUGAUCGAAAGAUGAAAAGCACUUUGGAAAGAGAGUUAAAAAGCACGUGAAAUUGUUGAAAGGGAAGCGCUUGCAAUCAGACUUGUUUAAACUGUUCGGCCGGUCUUCUGACCGGUUUACUCAGUUUGGACAGGCCAGCAUCAGUUUCGGCGGCCGGAUAAAGGCUCUGGGAAUGUGGCCUCCACUUCGGUGGAGGUGUUAUAGCCCAGGGUGUAAUACGGCCAGCCGGGACUGAGGUCCGCGCUUCGGCUAGGAUGCUGGCGUAAUGGUUGUAAGCGACCCGUCUUG